rnacentral:sRNA from 1 species
GAAAAGAAACCAACAGGGAUUGCCCUAGUAACGGCGAGUGAAGCGGCAACAGCUCAAAUUUGAAAUCUGGCUCUCUUUGGGGGUCCGAGUUGUAAUUUGCAGAGGAUGCUUUGGCAUUGGCGGCGGUCUAAGUUCCUUGGAACAGGACAUCGCAGAGGGUGAGAAUCCCGUACGUGGGCGCCUGCCUUUGCCGUGUAAAGCUCCUUCGACGAGUCGAGUUGUUUGGGAAUGCAGCUCUAAAUGGGAGGUAAAUUUCUUCUAAAGCUAAAUACCGGCCAGAGACCGAUAGCGCACAAGUAGAGUGAUCGAAAGAUGAAAAGUACUUUGGAAAGAGAGUCAAAAAGCACGUGAAAUUGUUGAAAGGGAAGCGCUUGCAGCCAGACUUGCCCGCAGUUGCUCACCUAGGCUUUGGCCUGGGGCACUCUUCUGCGGGCAGGCCAGCAUCAGUUUGGGCGGUCGGACAAAGGCCUCUGUCAAGUAUCUCCCUUCGGGGUGACCUUAUAGGGGAGGCGUAAUGCGACCAGCCCGGACUGAGGUCCGCGCAUCUGCUAGGAUGCUGGCGUAAUGGCUGUAAGCGGCCCGUCU